GGAUUAGAUACCCUGGUAGUCCACGCUGUAAACGAUGGAUACUAGUUGUUCGUUGCGCAAUGGCGUAAUGAGUGGCCAAGCAAAAGUGAUAAGUAUCCCACCUGGGGAGUACGUUCGCAAGAAUGAAACUCAAAGGAAUUGACGGGGGCCCGCACAAGCGGUGGAGCAUGUGGUUUAAUUCGAUGAUACGCGAGGAACCUUACCAAGGCUUAAAUGGAGAUUGACAGGUUUGGAGACAGAUUUUUCUUCGGACAAUUUCCAAGGUGCUGCAUGGUUGUCGUCAGCUCGUGCCG
rnacentral:rRNA from 1 species